CAACCCUCAAGCUCUGCUUGGUAUUAGGCCUCACCCGUCAGGGUGGGCUGUAAAAUCAGUGGCGGUGCCAUCCGGCUUCAAGCGUAGUAAUUUUUCUCGCUUUGGAGUCCCGGCUGUGUGCCUGCCAGCAACCCCAAUUUUAUCAAA
rnacentral:misc_RNA from 1 species